GCAUUAGCUAGUUGGUGAGGUAACGGCUCACCAAGGCAACGAUGCGUAGCCGACCUGAGAGGGUGAUCGGCCACACUGGGACUGAGACACGGCCCAGACUCCUACGGGAGGCAGCAGUAGGGAAUCUUCCGCAAUGGACGAAAGUCUGACGGAGCAACGCCGCGUGAGUGAUGAAGGUUUUCGGAUCGUAAAGCUCUGUUGUUAGGGAAGAACAAGUGCCGUUCAAAUAGGGCGGCACCUUGACGGUACCUAACCAGAAAGCCACGGCUAACUACGUGCCAGCAGCCGCGGUAAUACGUAGGUGGCAAGCGUUGUCCGGAAUUAUUGGGCGUAAAGGGCUCGCAGGCGGUUUCUUAAGUCUGAUGUGAAAGCCCCCGGCUCAACCGGGGAGGGUCAUUGGAAACUGGGGAACUUGAGUGCAGAAGAGGAGAGUGGAAUUCCACGUGUAGCGGUGAAAUGCGUAGAGAUGUGGAGGAACACCAGUGGCGAAGGCGACUCUCU
rnacentral:rRNA from 1 species